ACGAACGCUGGCAGCGUGCCUCAUACAUGCAAGUUGAGCGCUGAAGGUUGGUACUUGUACCACCUGGAUGAGCAGCGAACGGGUGAGUAACGCGUGGGGAAUCUGCCUUUGAGCGGGGGACAACAUUUGGAAACGAAUGCUAAUACCGCAUAAAAACUUUAAACACAAGUUUUAAGUUUGAAAGAUGCAAUUGCAUCACUCAAAGAUGAUCCCGCGUUGUAUUAGCUAGUUGGUGAGGUAAAGGCUCACCAAGGCGAUGAUACAUAGCCGACCUGAGAGGGUGAUCGGCCACAUUGGGACUGAGACACGGCCCAAACUCCUACGGGAGGCAGCAGUAGGGAAUCUUCGGCAAUGGACGAAAGCCUGACCGAGCAACGCCGCGUGAGUGAAGAAGGUUUUCGGAUCGUAAAACUCUGUUGGUAGAGAAGAACGUUGGUGAGAGUGGAAAGCUCAUCAAGUGACGGUAACUACCCAGAAAGGGACGGCUAACUACGUG
rnacentral:rRNA from 1 species